UACGUAGGGUGCGAGCGUUGUCCGGAAUUAUUGGGCGUAAAGAGCUCGUAGGCGGUUUGUUGCGUCUAUCGUGAAAACCUGCAGCUUAACUGUGGGCUUGCGGUGGAUACGGGCAGACUAGAGUGCGGUAGGGGAGACUGGAAUUCCUGGUGUAGCGGUGAAAUGCGCAGAUAUCAGGAGGAACACCGGUGGCGAAGGCGGGUCUCUGGGCCGUAACUGACGCUGAGGAGCGAAAGCGUGGGGAGCGAACAGG
rnacentral:rRNA from 1 species